CCCAAAUCACUCAAAAACCUAAGAGGGGACACCAGUGAUGAAAAACGUUCACCAAGUUGAAUUCUGCUUUCCUGCCUCCUUUAUAAAAGCUGGUUCACCGUGUUCUUUGUGAUUAUUGGUCUUUGGAAUGCUGAAAGGAUGAUGGAGCACUGGAGGUCCAUGCACCCAAAUCCAAUUUUGAGAGCAUGGCGGAUCUCAUCUUUAGCCAUCUCAUCAGGAGACACAUUCCUGUGGUAGUUAGUGUCCAUACAUCAUCACGAAACAAAAGCUACUCCACUGCAGGGUAACAUCGCUUUUUUAAUAAAUCCCCCCUUCUCCUUCCAAGUGAAUUGCUGGUGUUUGGGCUGUAGGGGGUGCAAGAACUCCACUGAAGCCUGCCGGUCUGAGCGGCGCAGCGGGCCAGACCUCGCGUUGAAUAGGCCUUUAUUGCCGCCACGGAGCCGCGGUUCUCUCUGAAUCUGGCCCUGCAAGAGGAGAUCAAAUCGGCAUGCGUUUUGAUGGUGUAAGCUGCAAUCCUAAACUCAAAGCUGUAAGUGAGAUCUCAGCCAAGGGAGCGAGCUUGUAUGCAUCCUGUGAAUCUCCCCCCACCAAGAAUACACCGUGCCAAAUAGGCAGAAUUGCGUCAGUCCAUUGUGGGAAGAGUUCACUACCCAGGACGAGAAUGCCAAACCAGUUUCUUCUCCUAAGAAAAUGUAGCCAAAGGAUAAAUGCAGUGUGUUAUCCCUAUAGAAAAAGAAAAAAAAAAAGUGUAUUAACAAUAAGAUCGAACUACGAUGAGGAUUUUUCUAAUUAUGAUUCCAGCUAGUAUUUUCUCUUAUCUGGGGAAUGCUAUCAGUGAUGUGUCUUGUUUUUUUUUUGUUUUGUGAUGUGCAUCAUUAUUACUAUUCAUCUAUUUUUAAAUAGUAGUACACCUCUCUGUGGAACUCCCAUGUUUUAGUAUGUCACUUAAGAGACCACUCCAUUUAAGUGAUUGUCACUUAAAUUAAUCCUAUUGUUUUGUGAUAUAUCGUCUUCUGUGCUGCCUGGAUUAGCUAGUUCAAUGACAGUGACAAACAUGCAUUGCUUGUUGUUAGAGAGGGGAGUCUCACAUGGGAAAACACCUGUACAUCCAAACUGGGACACAUGCAUUCCCCACCAGAGAGAGGGAGAGUUUUAGCAAACUGGUAUUUAUUGCUUGUUCUUGCAUGCAUGUUGUGCGUGAGUGUGUGUGUAUGUGGGUGGGGGUGGGUGUGUUUGUGAGAUACCACAGCUUGACAACAGGAAAUACGGUAUUGAAGAAAUGCUCAGGCACGUAAAGAUGUUGCUCUCUAAGGAUUAACACAGCUCCUCUGCAGUUAAAGUAUGAAUUGGUUAUUUAUAGCUCUGAAUUUUGUAACACUGAAAUUAGGGUCAAGUGUCCAAAUAUCAGCUACAAAAAAAAAAAAAAAAGGAUCCAAAUCUGCACAGACUGGGUUUAGAGUGUGAGACACCUUUUUAAAAAAAACAGUUUUGAUCCCACAGAAGUAAGUGCAAAAGCAUCAGGGGAGAAAAUGAAUUAAAUAUUUUUAUUUGAUUAUAUGGUAUCGCAUAUUUAGGAAGGAUGUUAAACGUAUAAGCAGGGCUUCACCAAUUAUCACAGGUGUAUGAGAUAUAUUUAUGAGGGAGUUAUAAUAGUUUUCGGUCUAAAAAAGAUUGUUUUCACUGUGCUAACUCUAAUACUUGCUAUGAUGUAAAGUGUAAUUGCUCCUCAGAAGUAAGUGAAAUUCAUUACUUGUAUCAGUUCACUUUACCUGAGGAAAAAAACAGUCAGUCAAUUUCUGUUCAUUUUUAUUACUUAAUUUAUUCCAGAACAAAAUUACAAAUUCAGAAAACCUGUCAGAAAUUAGUCUUCUGUAGGUAGACAGCGCUGGGAAAGAGUCAUCUUUUUGCUGCAAAUCUUUAUUGUCUACAGUUGUCCCGAGAUUCCUAUUGAAAAAUGAAUCCCAAAGAAUAAACUAGGUUUCAUUAUCAACACAAGGAGGAGCUUACAGUAGCAUUCUAAAAGGUCUAGGAAACUUUUGCAUUAACGGCUGUGCUAUUGUUUCCAGUAAGAAAUGGAAUUAUGUGAAACUGAUCAGAUCAGAAACUAGGUGAAUGGCCCAGACGAAUUUCCACAGACGCUUUUUGUAGGAAUGAAAUGUAUUUGCACCCGGUUUGUUCCAUUAUUUUUCUUUCUUUUUCAGAAGCUACAUGGUUCAGUUCUCCUAAAGGGUUGCAAAAACUGCAUUUUAAUCUAGCAUAUUUUCAUUCACUACAAGGUAAAUUUUAAGUGUGUUUUCUGUGAACAUUCAUAUAUACAGCAUAGUUAAACAAAUCAGUCAUUUAGUUAAGAAAGAGAAAACUAUCACUAGGUACAUUCCAAGAUUUCUUGGAGCUUCUAAAACUAAGCAAUUGCAAUUUCAUAUGUUAAUUUUUGCUUGACUAUGAAUCCAUUAGAAAAAAUAUGUUCCAUUCAUAGGUAAUUAAGAAAUUGGAUCCAUUUCCGGAAAUGAGCAUGAGGCAAAACAUGAGGGGAAAAAACUUUUUAAUUAAGUCUGUUUAAACCAACAUGACUCUGCUACAGGGUGAAUUAGGGCUUUUACAUGUACGUGAUACCUGUGAUAAUUAUAUGGGGACAUCUUGCAUUACGAUAUGUAGCUAUAUAGGCUUGAUUUGUUCAGAGAGUCUUUUUCCUAUUCCUUUUGUAUGGGAGAACUGAUGCUUUCAAAUGCGUGUUUUAUAUUACAUUACAGAAUUUCAUGAGUUGUUGUUUUUUUUUUUUCUUGUAGAAGUUAGAACCAUUACCCAUAUGCAUGAUUUUGUUUGUCAUUUUUCAUCAGGAGCUGCCAUAAAGUACAUUUUAAUCAUAUUUAUUAAAAGCAGUUGCCUCUUAUGAUAAAGCUAUUUUUGGACAAGGUGAGAUAGACUUUUCUCUAGCAACUACUUCUGUUAAUAAUGACAUGGGUUUUCCCGGAUAAAAUCAUUCAGAAAGAAUCAUGGUUAUUAAUGAUUUGCUAGAUGAAAGCAUAUCAAAAUAGAAUUUUUUGAAACUCAUAACUUUUAUUCUAUUUUAAAUUUCUUCAGCCAUGUGUUACACUUGUGAGCCAAAAACACUAAAACUUUUUCAUCCUGAUUAAAGAUUGACGUGCAUAACUCUUCAUGCUUCGAAAUGAAAAUAAGCCUCUUAGAGCAAUGGCUUCUAACAACCAAAGAGCCACUGAAAAAUCACAAAGACGCAAGCAAGUCAAAAACACAAAAAUUGUCUGUGACAAUUUUAUUAAAAAAUAGGAAUG